GUGAGGAAUAUUGGUCAAUGGGCGAGAGCCUGAACCAGCCAAGUCGCGUGAAGGAAGAAGGAUCUAUGGUUCGUAAACUUCUUUUGCAGGGGAAUAAAGUGCAGGACGUGUCCUGUUUUGUAUGUACCCUGAGAAUAAGGAUCGGCUAACUCCGUGCCAGCAGCCGCGGUAAUACGGAGGAUCCGAGCGUUAUCUGGCUUUAUUGGGUUUAAAGGGUGCGUAGGGGGUUUGAUAAGUCAGCGGUGAAAGUUUGCAGCUUAACUGUAAAAAUGCCGUUGAAACUGUCGGACUUGAGUGUAAAUGAGGUAGGCGGAAUGCGUGGUGUAGCGGUGAAAUGCAUAGAUAUCACGCAGAACUCCGAUUGCGAAGGCAGCUUACUAAGCUACAACUGACACUGAAGCACGAAAGCGUGGGGAUCAAACAGGAUUAGAUACCCCUGUAGUCC
rnacentral:rRNA from 1 species